CCUACGGGAGGCAGCAGUGGGGAAUAUUGCACAAUGGGGGGAACCCUGAUGCAGCGACGCCGCGUGGGUGAAGGAGUAUCUCGGUAUGUAAAGCCCUAUCAGCAGGGAAGAAAAAUGCCGGUACCUGACUAAGAUGCACCGGCUAAAUACGUGCCAGCAGCCGCGGUAAGACGCAGGGUGCAAGCGUUAUCCGGAUUUACUGGGGGUAAAGGGAGCGCAGGCGGCGCGUUAAGCCUGGUGUGAAAGUCCGCGGCCCAACCGCGGGACUGCAUUGGGAACUGGCGCGCUGGAGUGCCGGAGGGGUAGGCGGAAUUCGUAGUGUAGCGGUGAAAUGCGUAGAUAUUAGGAGGAACACCAGUGGCGAAGGCGGCCUACUGGACGGUGACUGACGCUGAGGCUCGAAAGCGUGGGGAGCAAACAGGAUUAGAUACCCGUGUAGUC
rnacentral:rRNA from 1 species